UGGUUUAAUUCGAAGCAACGCGAAGAACCUUACCAAAUCUUGACAUACCUUUGACAACUCUAGAGAUAGAGCUUUCCCCUUCGGGGGACAAAGUGACAGGUGGUGCAUGGUUGUCGUCAGCUCGUGUCGUGAGAUGUUGGGUUAAGUCCCGCAACGAGCGCAACCCUUAAGCUUAGUUGCCAUCAUUAAGUUGGGCACUCUAAGUUGACUGCCGGUGACAAACCGGA
rnacentral:rRNA from 1 species